UACGUAGGGGCCGAGCGUUAUCCGGAGUUAUUGGGCGUAAAGCGCGCGCAGGCGGCCUCGCGCGCCCGACGUGAAAGCCCCCGGCUUAACCGGGGAGGGUCGUUGGGGACGGCGGGGCUUGAGGGCGGGAGAGGGUGGUGGAAUUCCCGGUGUAGUGGUGAAAUGCGUAGAGAUCGGGAGGAACACCCGUGGCGAAGGCGGCCACCUGGGCCGACCCUGACGCUGAGGCGCGAAGGCUAGGGGAGCAAACGGG
rnacentral:rRNA from 1 species